CCUACGGGAGGCAGCAGUAGGGAAUCUUCCGCAAUGGGCGAAAGCCUGACGGAGCAACGCCGCGUGGGUGAUGAAGGCCUUCGGGUCGUAAAGCCCUGUCGGAGGG
rnacentral:rRNA from 1 species